ncrna:unclassified sequences Rhodo-rpoB RNA
AAACCGGGAGACUUUCUAACGGGAAGAAGGUCAAGAAUAGGUUUUCAUAGUUCCGCUCUCGUGUGGGAAUGUAACUGGUACCCGACAGAUUGCAUU